UACGUAGGGGGCGAGCGUUGUCCGGAAUUACUGGGCGUAAAGGGCGCCUAGGCGGUCCUUUAAGUCUGCGGUGAAAGACCGAGGCUCAACCUCGGGGUGUCCGCGGAGACUGGAGGACUGGAGUAUCGGAGAGGAGUGCGGAAUUCCUGGUGUAGCGGUGGAAUGCGUAGAGAUCCGGAAGAACACCGGUGGCGAAGGCGGUCUGGCUGGGCAGUAGCUGGACGCUGAUGCGCGACAGCGUGGGGAGCAAACAGG
rnacentral:rRNA from 1 species